ACGGGAGGCAGCAGUAGGGAAUAUUGCACAAUGGGGGGAACCCUGAUGCAGCAACGCCACGUGUGGGAAGAAGCAUUUCGGUGUGUAAACCACUGUCGUGAGGGAAUAAUGCUUGGCCUCGGCCAAGUUGAAUGUACCUCGAAAGGAAGCACCGGCAAACUUCGUGCCAGCAGCCGCGGUAAUACGGAGGAUGCAAGCGUUAUCCGGAUUUAUUGGGUUUAAAGGGUGCGUAGGCGGAUGAUUAAGUCAGUGGUGAAAGGUCCCGGCUCAACCGGGGAGCUGCCAUUGAUACUGGUCGUCUUGAAUGCGGAUGCCGUGGGAGGAAUGUGUGGUGUAGCGGUGAAAUGCAUAGAUAUCACACAGAACACCGAUUGCGAAGGCAUCUCACGAAUCCGUUAUUGACGCUGAGGCACGAAAGCGUGGGGAUCAAACAGGAUUAGAUACCCUGGUA
rnacentral:rRNA from 1 species